GAUGAACGCUGGCGGCGUGCCUAACACAUGCAAGUCGAACGAAGCACUUUUUUACGAUCCCUUCGGGGUGACGAAUUUGUGACUGAGUGGCGGACGGGUGAGUAACGCGUGGGAAACCUGCCUUGUACCGGGGGAUAGCAGUUGGAAACGACUGAUAAUACCGCAUAAGCGCACAGUAUCACAUGAUACAGUGUGAAAAACUCCGGUGGUACAAGAUGGUCCCGCGUCUGAUUAGCUUGUUGGCGGGGUAAUGGCCCACCAAGGCGACGAUCAGUAGCCGACCUGAGAGGGUGACCGGCCACAUUGGGACUGAGACACGGCCCAAACUCCUACGGGAGGCAGCAGUGGGGAAUAUUGCACAAUGGAGGAAACUCUGAUGCAGCGACGCCGCGUGAGCGAUGAAGUAUUUCGGUAUGUAAAGCUCUAUCAGCAGGGAAGAUAAAUGACGGUACCUGACUAAGAAGCUCCGGCUAAAUACGUGCCAGCAGCCG
rnacentral:rRNA from 1 species